CAUUUUACUAAAAACGCGUAGAAACACUGAAAAUUUUCCAUUGGUGAAAAAGAUGUGAUUGAAAAGUUAAAAAAAGAAAAACUGCAUAGAUUUAAAGGAGAACGAGAGUAGAAUAGAAAGGAACGAUUACCCAUUAUCUUCUGUGAAAAGGUCGUGUCAAACAUUCAGCCCGCCAGGCUGUUUAUCGCGCCAUCGCGUUACGAAUUCGCGUUGCGCGAUAAAAAGGGAAACUCUCCGAGUAUUCUCUCCGCGAGACACGUCGAGAAAUCGUGUCGCGCUUCUUCCGCGCCGUGGCGGCCCCUUUAUGUGUGUCGGGCCGCUGGUCUCGACAAAGGCUCUCGAAUAUAGGACAAACUAUAGGCGCAGCCAGGCCUCGUCCCUCUUCAAUUCCCCCCAUAACGUUACGCCGUGUGUAUUAAUUCGUGGCACACACUCGGGGCAGAAACAGGGCUCGGCCUGUUAUCUCGGGGGAGCGUUUAGAGAGACACCGGUGAACAACACACACCGUCGGCUGUUCUCGAUCGAUCGCGACCUGGCCUCGUGGCAGCCUUCUUCUUUCGCACGUCCGGCCGAAGAAGAAUCGUUCUCUGUGACCGUAUGUCCUCUCCGUUCGUCGUCGAACAUCUCGCGUUCGCGUUUCAUCAACUGACUUUCACAGUUCAAUUCUGUUCAAUUAGCUUCGCGACGUAGAAGUAACACGCUCUGCGAGGGUGUCAGUGGGUAAAAAACGUUUUUCGCGACAUCUUUGUGAAAACAAACGACACGUUGGCAAACUCUGUUUCUAUGAAUAUUAGGUUAUGUAAACAAGCCCGCUCGAAUUGAGCCAUCGAUGACGAAAUUAAUACUGGUGUGUCAUGUGCUGCUGAUUAUUUCUUUGCGAAUGAAAACGAUCGGAGACUGCGUAGAAUUCUUUUCAACAUCCAGUGGAACGAACGACGCUCAGACGCGCGUCUAACCAGCGUCGACCUCUACUACUGAAGCGACUCGCGACGAGACCUGACGGCCAGAGCCUAUCCUUUGGACCUCCGGAACGCAAUUUCGUGCUCCGUUUGCCUUGACGACGGGUGUACACACCAAACUUGGAUCGAGCCCGAUAACGUGACCGAGCCAGCCGUGUUUACGGAGACUGUUUUUUCGACGGGCAAGUUCAAAGGGAUUAGCUCACGGUCUGUGGCGUUCGUUUUUCAGUUACAUUUGUCUAGACCAGGGAAAAUCAUCGGGACUAUCGGGACAACACAUGUGAUUUUUGAAAUUUUUUAAAGUGUGAUUGAAUUAAAAUUGAAUGAAAAUUUCUGACAGCGUUAAACGAAUAUAAUAGACUUCUUGAAUUAUUAAAUGAGGACUGUACACAAGGAUUCCUCUAAUUUCUCUUAUAUAAUCUGCACAAAGUGCAAUCUAUUAAACGUCGAUAAUAAGGAUUAACUAUGAGUUUCAAAGUGCAACGUAUUGUAUGUGAAUCACAUUGCAAGCUUGAUGAUCAGCAACAUUUUCUCAUCUUAAAUAUUAUUAUUAUUAAUAUUAAUAACUAUUAAUACUUAUUUCAUGUAAAUGUUUGAAAGUAUGUAUAUUCUUGGUACAUGAUCAGAAAUGCAAGAAAUUUUAGGACCAAAGAGAUAAUUUUUUGUCAAUAUCUAAAAACAUGUAUUUUUGUGGUGUAUGAUAGCAGAAAUGCAAGAAAUUCUGACACACCAAAAAAGAAGCAAUUUCUCUCUAUAAAUAUAUGAAAUUUUCAUUCACUGACAAUUUGAUAAAUUGUUCAUUCCGAGUUCCUUCAUUGAAUUCCUCUAUUUUAUUACGUUGUCAAAAGGUUAACGACUCCGAGGGAAGCACGGAUGGUUAAUGCGUACGGAGUGGCUGCAAGAGCAUGGAAUAGUGCCAAUAGCUGAGAAACGUCUAUCUGAAGGGAAGUUUGAUGAAGGAGAGAGAGAAAGAGAGAGAGAGGAGAGAACCAAGAGAGGUCUAAUAGCCAUCCAGACGAACAUUGAGACGAUUGUACUGCCCCCUGAAGUGUCAAAAGUAAGAUUCUACAACAUCCUCCUCGUCUCUGUCCUCAUCAUCGAAAAGGAAGAGAUCGUCAUUAACAUCCUAACCUCGCAAAUCCGUCUCAAACGAACCUCUUCCAGAAUCGUCUGCUACAAUCGUCUCUGCCAUGAAUAGGAGGUAAAUAGACGCGAGGAGGAGACGGAGCGGCGAGCCACGUUAGCAGACCAGAUUCGUUCCAUCUAGAGGCUAGACAACUCUAUUCUCGGAUCGACGGACGCGCAGUUCCAGCGAGGCCGCGGCUGCAGGAGAAAAUCAGAAAACAGUGAGCCCGAGCUUCGAGGUUUCUCGAAGCGGCGGUUAUACCGUCGUUAUAAAUAGAAGAGCCUUGUUAGCGGUUACACACGACGUAUUAGUUAGGUAGGCACGUAGAUAGACGCAACGCUUCUUUCCUUCUUUUCACAAAGUGGAAGGAGGAGAGAGAGAGUCUGGCUGCCGAUAGCCGAUAAUCGUUCCACCCAGUCAAACGAACAACCGUGCCCGAUGGAUAAUGAAAGCCGGACGACGAAAGGUGGUCCCUCUGGUCGCGUUGUUUCGUCGCCCGUUAACUUCUUCACUUUUAACCCCACGGUGUGCGUACAGGAACGUACCUCUCUCUCCGUUCUCUCAUUCCGUCCUA